AAAAAUUUAGUUAAAUUAUAACGUUAGUUUGUCAAACUAAAAUUAUUGUAAAAUAAUUUUUU
rnacentral:tRNA from 1 species